CAGUCGCCACGGUAAUACGGAGGGAGCUAGCGUUGUUCGGAAUUACUGGGCGUAAAGCGCACGUAGGCGGCUUUGUAAGUUAGAGGUGAAAGCCUGGAGCUCAACUCCAGAACUGCCUUUAAGACUGCAUCGCUUGAAUCCAGGAGAGGUGAGUGGAAUUCCGAGUGUAGAGGUGAAAUUCGUAGAUAUUCGGAAGAACACCAGUGGCGAAGGCGGCUCACUGGACUGGUAUUGACGCUGAGGUGCGAAAGCGUGGGGAGCAAACAGGAUUAGAUACCCCCGUAGUCCCUGUCUCUUAUAC
rnacentral:rRNA from 1 species